rnacentral:tRNA from 1 species
ACUUGUUUAGUAUAAUCAGUAUAGCUGUCUUCCAAAUAGCGGGUUUAAAUAAUAUUAUUUAAAAUAAGUA